rnacentral:rRNA from 1 species
GGGGAAUAUUGGACAAUGGGCGCAAGCCUGAUCCAGCAAUGCCGCGUGGAUGAAGAAGGUCUUCGGAUUGUAAAGUCCUUUCGACGGGGACGAUGAUGACGGUACCCGUAGAAGAAGCCCCGGCUAACUUCGUGCCAGCAGCCGCGGUAAUACGAAGGGGGCUAGCGUUACUCGGAAUUACUGGGCGUAAAGGGCGCGUAGGCGGCUCAGCAAGUCAGGCGUGAAAUUCCUGGGCUCAACCUGGGGACUGCGCUUGAGACUGUUGGGCUAGAGGAUGGAAGAGGGUCGUGGAAUUCCCAGUGUAGAGGUGAAAUUCGUAGAUAUUGGGAAGAACACCGGUGGCGAAGGCGGCGACCUGGUCCAUUACUGACGCUGAGGCGCGACAGCGUGGGGAGCAAAC